rnacentral:tRNA from 1 species
ACCCGUGUGGCGCAGCGGUAAGCGCGCAGUCUGAAAAAGGCUGAGGUGAUGGGUUCGACUCCUAUUACGGGUACCA